rnacentral:rRNA from 1 species
UACGUAGGUCGCAAGCGUUGUCCGGAUUUACUGGGCGUAAAGAGCGCGCAGGCGGCUGGUCAAGUCCGAUGUGAAAUCUCCCGGCUCAACUGGGAAGCUGCAUCGGAACUGAUCGGCUUGAAGAUGGGAGAGGGUAGUGGAAUUCCCGGUGUAGUGGUGAAAUGCGAUAGAUAUCGGGAGGAACACCAGUGGCCGAAGGCGAACUACCUGGGCCCAUUCUUGAC